GCGCCCUAGGAGGAGUAAUGCGUGCUGGAGAACGUAGUCCCCCAGGUUCCCGUUUGGUCCUAUCCCGCCUCACUUUCGUCAAGAGAACUUUCCCAUCUAUUUCUGCCUGUUGAAGAAGGGACUCCUUACAGAGAGGCUCAGACCAUGCUGUCCACAGUCCAAGGCUGCCCUAGAUGAGCAAACUGAGACACAGAGAGGCUAAAGAGCUUGCUCAAGGCCACACAGCCAAUCAGUGGCAGAGCCAGGGUUCAAACCCAGGCCGCACCGCGCAGCUUGCAGGAUCCUAGUUCCCUGACCAGGGACUGAUCCCAGGCCCUCGGCAGUGAAAGCGUGGAGUCCUAACCACUGGACUGCCAGGGAAUUCCCAUGAAGACAUAACGCUUAAACAUGCCAGAGCCUGAAGUGGGUGAGCAAUAAACACUGGUGAUGAUCCUCCCCGGGAGGUGACGAGCUCAGGCCAGGAGGCCCUGGGAGAGAGUGCUGCGGGGAUGCCAGGGGUCCACACCUGGGAAGACGAAGAUGAAGCAGGCGGCCAGGCCUCCAAUGACCGAGAUGACCUUGCCGAUGUCAGGGAUGAAGAGUGCCAGCAGCAGGGUGAGCAGGAACCAGACCAGCGUCUGCAGUACUCGCCGCCGCCGCUCCCGCCCCACGUCCUCCUCCACCGGCAUCCCCUGGUAGCGCAGCCACAGGCCUUCGACCACCGCCCUGCCCACACGGAGAGCGGCUCAGAGGCGACCCUGCUAACAGCUCCCCACCUACAGCCAUGGGGCCAGACCCCUGACUGGGUGUAUUGCAGGACUCCCCCAUCCUGCCUGUAACGUGGAUUCCAUCCCAGGAUGGGGAGUGAGCUAAGGGGACAAAAGGGACCUUGCCACUAGCACCUGAAAUCCGAAGCAGAUGGUGGGCAUGGCAUUGAACACGGCUAUCCAGGAAGCUGGCCUGCGGACAAACACACAAGAUGCUGCUGCCUGGGAAGCCCUCAGAGUCACCAAGCGCCGCCAUGCUCUUACUCUUCAUUCAGCCCCCCCACGGCCUCCACCAGCCAGCAUGCACACAUUCAACCCACAGAAGUCUGGGAACUGGGAGAGGACACAUUUACAGGCCCGCUCACUCACCAUCUGCAGCGUGAUGCCAGCUGCCACUCCCCCGGCAGUGCUGAAGGCUGCUGGGAAGUUGAGCAGCCCUGCGCCCAGGCAGGCGUUGACAACGAUGAAGAUGGCUCCA